rnacentral:hammerhead_ribozyme from 1 species
AUCCAGCCGACGAGUCCCAAAUAGGACGAAACGCGCGUCCUGGAC